GACGAACGCUGGCGGCGUGCCUAAUACAUGCAAGUCGAACGCUUCUUUCCUCCCGAGUGCUUGCACUCAAUUGGAAAGAGGAGUGGCGGACGGGUGAGUAACACGUGGGUAACCUACCCAUCAGAGGGGGAUAACACUUGGAAACAGGUGCUAAUACCGCAUAACAGUUUAUGCCGCAUGGCAUAAGAGUGAAAGGCGCUUUCGGGUGUCGCUGAUGGAUGGACCCGCGGUGCAUUAGCUAGUUGGUGAGGUAACGGCUCACCAAGGCCACGAUGCAUAGCCGACCUGAGAGGGUGAUCGGCCACACUGGGACUGAGGCACGGCCCAGACUCCUACGGGAGGCAGCAGUAGGGAAUCUUCGGCAAUGGACGAAAGUCUGACCGAGCAACGCCGCGUGAGUGAAGAAGGUUUUCGGAUCGUAAAACUCUGUUGUUAGAGAAGAACAAGGACGUUAGUAACUGAACGUCCCCUGACGGUAUCUAACCAGAAAGCCACGGCUAACUACGU
rnacentral:rRNA from 1 species